UUCCUUUUCCCCAAGUAGAACGCUGCAUUUACUUUACAUUUUGCUUUGGAGUCGGAAGUUCCAAAAUCACCAGGAGAGCUCCUCAGGCAUCUCCUGCCUGUAAUUCCUGGGAAAUGCCACCUGCCACCCAUCCUUGGAAGCGUCGCCCAUUCUCAGGAUCUCAUGCGUCACCAUUCAUCACAGUCACAGCGCUUGCAGACAUCUGGAUAAAAGGAAAAGCCCAUUUUUUAAAACUUACACGUAAAAUUUUCCUCUAAUUACCAUUUUAUUCUUUUAAAUUUCAUUAUGUUUAAUUACAUUUAGUAUGGAUUAAGGCACAGCCAGCCUGGAUUAAGGCAUCACCAGCCUGUCAUCAGACUCUCCGGACAAUGCCAGCCCAGAGGGGGCUGACCUGGAGGACAUUCCCCCGGAGGACAUGGAGUGGGAGCCUCCAGGUCUUGCCCUGAGUCCCACUCCGUGGUGUCAGCCCCGUGGCCAAAGUUUCCCCAGCCGAGGAGGCUAUCGCCGCGACAACGGCAGGGUCAACGGAAAUCCAGUCGUGAGCUGAGGUCCAGGAGGAAAAAACGAGGUUAUGCUACCCAGACCUGCCUCCUGAUCCAGGCUUGGUCCAAGAUGGUCUUUCAGGGGUCCCUGGUUUGGUCCAGUUCCUGUCCUGCCUGCCCCUCGACACCCUCCGACUCUGCCAACCCCUCGCCGUCUACCGAUGCUGUUCUUCCCUCGGCUGCCGCAGACGAGUAGAGCUUCUACAGACCCAGACAGGAUUCCAAAGGCCCCCCUGGCCGUGACCCUUCUGCGGCACCCCGGAGCCCAUCAGAGGCCCUGAACUGUUCACUUUACCUCCCAUGCUACCUAGUGUCUUGCCCCUCCUAAUACCUCAGUCUUUGGUCUGUAGUCUUGCUUCCCCGUGGCUCUCCCUGGUUUCACCUCUUAGCCUGAUUUCACUGUUCCAGCCCCCACUCCAGUCACUCUUGCUUCCCGCUUUAGGUUCCCCUCUCCUGGCCAUAUUAUUGUUGCACUGGUUCCGUUGCUUGCCUCUCUUGUCUGGUUGUGUCCUGCCUUGUCUGUCCCUGUGUCGUC